rnacentral:rRNA from 1 species
ACGGGAGGCAGCAGUGGGGAAUAUUGCACAAUGGGCGAAAGCCUGAUGCAGCAACGCCGCGUGAAGGAUGAAGGCCUUCGGGUCGUAAACUUCUGUCCUAAGGGAAGAAUAAAUGACGGUACCUUUGGAGGAAGCCCCGGCUAACUACGUGCCAGCAGCCGCGGUAAUACGUAGGGGGCGAGCGUUAUCCGGAAUUAUUGGGCGUAAAGAGUGCGUAGGCGGUUUCUUAAGCGCGGGGUGAAAGGCAGUGGCUCAACCAUUGUUAGCCUUGCGAACUGGGAGACUUGAGUGCUGGAGAGGAAAGUGGAAUUCCUAGUGUAGCGGUGGAAUGCGUAGAUAUUAGGAGGAACACCAGUGGCGAAGGCGACUUUCUGGACAGUAACUGACGCUGAGGCACGAAAGUGUGGGGAGCAAACAGGAUUAGAUACCCUGGUA